rnacentral:rRNA from 1 species
UACAGAGGGGGCAAGCGUUGUUCGGAAUUACUGGGCGUAAAGCGCGUGUAGGCGGCUAUGCAAGUCGGACGUGAAAUCCCACGGCUCAACCGUGGAAGUGCGCUCGAAACUGCGUAGCUAGAGUCCUGGAAAGGAAGGUGGAAUGCUUGGUGUAGAGGUGAAAUUCGUAGAUAUCAAGCGGAACACCGGUGGCGAAGGCGGCCUUCUGGACAGUGACUGACGCUGAGACGCGAAAGCGUGGGGAGCAAACAGG